GUCAGCAGCUUCCUGUGUUUCUACGGGAGCAACCUUACUUGCUGGAGAUACUGUGGUGCUGCAUCAUGUGUGACAGGAGUUACCGGUAAGCACCACCAGUGCUGCAAGUACAGUUAAAAAUGGUUUUGAAUUACAUGCUGCUUGAAUCAGUGCUUCAGUACCAACUGAGGGUUACAGUCCAUGCAUCUGAUGGACUCUCACCCAUGAAAGCCUGUGCAAUGGUCAAAUUUAUUAGUUUUUAAAGUGCCAUGAAGUUCCUUGUUGUUUUUUUAGCAACAGACUCUCAUGGCUAGCCCUCUGAAAUCUCUUCGUGAAGUAAGCCAGCGUGUCAGGGAGAAAGCUACUGUGAUCCUUACCUUACAGUCCUUAUAGUGUGUGAAUUUUUAUGUAGGAGAGCAUUCCAUUAUGUGCUUGCCUUGUUUGCAUACUGACAUGGUACGAUCCUGGGAGGGCUGUACUAAGUGUUUGUUUUCUCCUGAACGCAUGCACAUGUGUCUUUUUGUGUGCUGAGAUUUGAAGUUUGGCAUAGGAAACUGUGUGCCAAUUGCAAGUGCCUGUGUUUCAUCCUAUGAAUAUGUAUACUUAUGUCACACAUGUGUUCACUUCAGCAGCAAAAUGGGCAUUUUAUUUUAUUUUGUUCACUUGCAGUGUUGCCUUAUCCCAUAUAUGCCCACCCAACAGAUUCAAUCUGUGAAACUACAGCUGCCACAUAAUACUCUUCCUGCACUUAUAAGAAAUCAAUCUUUCAGUGUAGCCGCACCUACAAUUUCACUUUGGAACUCCCUGCCUAUUGACAUCAGGCAUAUGCCUUCGCUCUUUUUCAGUGCCUAUUAUUUUUUAAAAAUGUUUAGGCAAUCCUAGCCAGACCCGUAAAAGUAAUACCGUAUUUUUCGCCCCAUAGGACGCACUUUUCCCCCUCCAAAAAUGAAGGGGAAAUGUGUGUGCAUCCUAUGGGGCGAAUGCAGGCUUUCGCUGAAGCCUGGAGAGCGAGAGGCAUCGGUGCGCACCGACCCCUCUCGCUCUCCUGGCUUCAGGAAGCUAUCCGCAAGGAGGUCCUGCCGGGCUUGGGGCAGCUCUGGAGGGCUCCCCGUGCUUCGGGCGAGUGUCCGCAAGCCUUGCGCGCCCGGCAGGAGGUCCCGCCGGGCGCGCGAGGCUUGGGGCAGCAGCCUGCAGCCCGAAGCACGCGGAGCCCUUCAGAGGGUGCCCCGUGCUUCGGGCAGGUGUGCGCAAGGCUUGGGCGGCCGCCGCGGGGGGGGGGAUAUUUUUUUUUAUUCAUUUCCCCCCCCAAAAAAACGAGGUGCGUCCUAUGGGCCGGUGCGCCCUAUAGGACGAAAAAUACGGUAUAUGCUCUAUUUCUUUUUAGCUGUUAUAACUUUAUGUGGAAGGUGGGGCAAACACCCCCUUUUGUUGCCACUUUUGUUAAACAACUUGGAAUCAGAAUCCCUUCUGAUCUACUGCAAAUCACUCAGAGGUCUACCAGUAGAUCCUGAUUUACAUUUUGCCCACUUCUGCAAAUAAGAGAAAUGGAUACUGAGCAAUGAUCCACAUCACUGUCCCCAGAUGAGUCAUACUGGCAGGCCUCAAAGCUAUUAAAAUUGCCCAGCAAGCACAUUGGACUUUUCUUAAAAUUUGUCUCCCCUGAAAGCCAUUGAAGGCUUGCUGAGUUAAAUCGAUAUCUGUCAUGGGCACAGAAUAAAUGACAUAACUGAGGAAACACAAGAAGUGUGUGUCAGAGUGAGAAAUAUUAUAUAGAAAUCUUCUAAUAGAAUCUGCAGGCUCUCCUUUAUGAUUCAUGUCUCUAGCUUUUCCUUGGUCAGGGCAUGACUUGGCCACAGUACUCCAUGCUCUGGUAACUUCCAGACUGGAUUAUUGCAAUGUGCUCUAUGUGGGAUUGUCCUUGAAGAUGGGUCAGAAAUUUCACCUGGUCCAAAAUGUGGUGACUUUGGUUUCCCUGGGCUUCCUAUAACCCCUGUUCUCAAACAGCUGCUUUUGCUGAGAGUUUGUUUCCUGACCCAAUUCAAGGUGAUCUGUUUAAUGUUCUAAACAACUUGGGCUCCAGAUUUCUGAAGGACUGUCUCCUUUCCUAUAGAUACGCCUUAUCCAGAUCAGCAGAGGGGACCCUCUUGGCUGUUCCACCUCCCUCAGAGGGUUGCCGUGGGGGUGGGGAGAGGAGGCUUGCUUGGUAGAUGGCAUUCUCUAUGGUAGCACCUAAGCUGUGAAGAUCAUUCCCAUUGAGGUGUGCCUGGCUUCUUCACUAUGCAGCUUUUGCCAAAUGCUGAAGAUGUACCUCUUUACCCUUGACCCCGAGAUGUGUUUUCACCCUAUUCCUGUGAUUGCAAUUUGUUUUAACAGUUUUCAACUCUGAAUUUUCCAUUGUUGUAACCUGUACUAGGACCUGCUAGUGAGGGGUGGGUAAUAUAAUUAAUGACGUUAACUACUACUACUACUAAUAAUAAUAAUUUGGAUGGCUGCUCUUACUUUGUAGAGAAGAUAGAAAUUUUUUAAAGAGAGAAAUUCUCAGCUCUAUUGAGAUUUAGUUCAAGAGACAGAGUAAGGUAAUAAAAGUAUUAUCAAAGGUUUAAACUCUUGCUGAUGUUAUUAUAAGCCCCAAACAACUUGGGACCAGUCUAUUUAAGGAACUGCCUUAUCCUGUAUGUGCCUGCCAGAUCACAGCAGUCUUCAAGAGAAGCAGAUUUGACCAGGCCACAUACCCCUGAGGUCCCUUUCAUGACCACCUGCAGAAGGGCUUUUCCCCAGCACCUAUUUUGUGAAAUUUAGACACAUGGCAAUCACCUCAAUGCUAUGCCUUAGAUCAGGGUUAGGGCCCUGCAUUCCCUUCCAGUCAACAUUCUGGGGACCAUAUGCCAGUGCUGGGAAGGGCCAGAAGCAAAAGUGGGCAGGGCAGUGAAUGUUAAUUUUACCUUUGUAUAGUAGGCUAGUUUCUACACAUACUUACACACCCUUCUCUACCCUCUGUCCAGAAGAGCAAGGUCAUCAGAGUUCAAGGACACAUUCUAGCCCAGGAAGGUGCGAAGUAGGGCUGGGCAAAGUCCCAUGGACCAGAUAAAGGGACCUGGAGGGUCACCCCUGGGGCUGAGUUAGAUGCUUGCACAAAACUUUGUAUUAAUGCAGGCUUACCCUGUACCUAGACAUGUUGUCUGUACUAUUGCUUUACUAUUUUCCUGCAUUUUAGUUGCAUUUUUUUCAUUAGAAAUAUAAAAAUUCCUCUAUUUCGGUACCAUAUAGAAAUUGAGCAUUGUGAUUGCAUUUUAGUUUUCAUUUAUUUGUUGCAAAUCUUUCAGAGAUAUUUGUUGUUACCUUAUUGCUGCACUUCUCUAUUGAUGCUCUUGACAUUCAUAAUGAUUAGUGAUUGAUGGAAGCUUGAGUGAAGUGCAGUUGGCAGGUAUGGUCUGGUCUCCCUGAGAUCUGGGUGCAAUGAAUUAACUCAUUGAGAGAGGUUCCAGCCAGCUGCUCAGCUUGCCACCUUUUCUCUGUAAAUGCCCUCCAGCUUCCCCACUUUUAUUUCAUUUGAUUGCCCAAGAUCUAGACCACAGGCUUCUUACUUUCCUUCUCAGCCAACAAAAGCUAGGGAGGGGGGCUUCAACUUUUGUAGCUAAAUGCUGCUCCUAAGCAGCUUAUGGUGAGAGCCUGGCUUAAGCUUCAACGAAUGUUAAGAAUGAGCUAUAAAUUGCAGAUCUCAUCAUGCUAGUAUAUAUGUAGAGAGACAAAGCUGAAGAUCUCCUGUUUCCUUUGUCAGCUUCUUUUGGAGGGGAAAAGAAAGCAUAAAUUUGUGCCCAUGCUGAUUGGGUGGCUGUAGGAUGCUGGACACAGAGAUCCUAAUGCAGAAAUAGCAAUGGGUCUUCAACAUCCCUCCUUGCAACUAUGAACGAUUACACCAUUGAUUUUGACAGGUAGGCAGGAUAACCCGCUUGUCAAUCACAUGGUGUUGUAAUGACAUGGAGCUGGCCCACAGAACCAAAAGGUUUCCUUACCCCUGCACUAGAUAUUAAGCUAAACACGUGGCUACUAGUGAGAGCAGCAGUACCUUUCUCAGGUCCCCCCUCUAUGACCUCUUGUUAUAGCUUUUUUUCUGCCCUGGCAUCAUGAUAGCAGGAGACCAUGUGAUGUCAGCUUGGAUUUUAAGAUGCUUUAAACAAAAGAUUCGGAUAAUGGAGCUCCAAGCUCUCAAGCCCUGCUCAGCCAUGUACAUCAUUAUUUUAUUUAUCCCAACUUUUAUAUCCCACCAUUCUGUAGCAGCACAGAAACUUUAAAAAUAUGCAGUGAAACAAGCUGUGAUUCCGUCAGAAAACAAUGGCAAAGAAUGGCAAUAAAAUUGCAACUGCUCCAGCACUAAAGUGCAUCAUCUGGAUACCCUAAUUAAAAAGAAGAAGAAAAGCCCACUGCAAUAAAACCAUUUUCAAUGUGCACUUAAAAGCAGGC